rnacentral:tRNA from 1 species
AGCCACUCAGCCAUCUCUCC